rnacentral:rRNA from 1 species
AAACCAGCACCUCAAGUGGUCAGGAUGAUUAUUGGGCCUAAAGCAUCCGUAGCCUGUUCUGUAAGUUUUCGGUUAAAUCUGUAUGCUCAACAUACAGGCUGCCGGGAAUACUGCAGAACUAGGGAGUGGGAGAGGUAGACGGUACUCGGGAGGAAGUGGUAAAAUGCUUUGAUCUCUCGAUGACCACCUGUGGCGAAGGCGGUCUACCAGAACACGUCCGACGGUGAGGGAUGAAAGCUGGGGGAGCAAACCGGAUUAGAUACCCGAGUAGUCC